rnacentral:rRNA from 1 species
GGGAACUGAGACACGGUCCAGACUCCUACGGGAGGCAGCAGUGGGGAAUAUUGCACAAUGGGCGCAAGCCUGAUGCAGCCAUGCCGCGUGUGUGAAGAAGCGCUUCGGGUUGUAAAGCACUUUCAGUCGUGAGGAAGGUAGUGUAGUUAAUAGCUGCAUUAUUUGACGUUAGCGACAGAAGAAGCACCGGCUAACUCCGUGCCAGCAGCCGCGGUAAUACGGAGGGUGCGAGCGUUAAUCGGAAUUACUGGGCGUAAAGCGCAACCAGUUGUUUUGUAAAGUCAGAUGUGAAAGCCCGGGGCUCAACCUCGGAAUAGCAUUUGAAACUGGCAGACUAGAGUACUGUAGAGGGGGGUAGAAUUUCAGGUGU